UGUAGGCUCUCUGAGCGAGAGAAGUUGAGAGAGGACAGUGACAAAGAAUCCCUUUUGAAGAUAAGAUAUAGUGUUGGGUUUACUAUUGAUUUUAAGAAACAAUAGUGGUUAUUAUUACAGUAAUGCCGUCCGGCGUACGAGUAAUUGAUUUCCCAUCACUGUUUUAGUACUGAGUUUUUAUUUGUUUAUCUGUUUUGAUUGACAGUUUUAGAGAAUAGUUUUGGGUUUACUGUUUUUUGGAAAAAUAGUGGUUAUUAUUACAGUCGUCCGUUGGAUGUACGAGUAAUCGAUUUCUCAUGAGCUGUUAAGAAACUGACACCUGUUUAUGCGAUGUGCAAAUGUUUUGUUUUUUCCCCAUAAACUGAUAGAGUGUG